CCGGGUGUGGCGAAGCUUGGUAUCGCGCUUGGUUCGGGUCCAAGAGGCCGCAGGUUCAAAUCCUGUCACUCGGACCA
rnacentral:tRNA from 6 species